GACGAACGCUGGCGGCGUGCUUAACACAUGCAAGUCGAACGGAAAGGCCCUGCUUGCAGGGUACUCGAGUGGCGAACGGGUGAGUAACACGUGGGUGCUCUGCCCUGCACUUCGGGAUAAGCCUGGGAGACUGGGUCUAAUACCGGAUAGGAGCCACUUUUAGUGUGAUGGUUGGAAAGUUUUUUCGGUGUAGGAUGAGCUCGCGGCCUAUCAGCUUGUUGGUGGGGUAAUGGCCUACCAAGGCGGCGACGGGUAGCCGGCCUGAGAGGGUGGACGGCCACAUUGGGACUGAGAUGCGGCCCAGGCGCCUAAGGGAGGCAGCAGUGGGGAAUAUUGCACAAUGGGCGCAAGCCUGAUGCAGCGACGCCGCGUGGGGGAUGACGGCCUUCGUGUUGUAAACUCCUUUCGCUAGGGACGAAGCUUUUUGUGACGGUACCUAGAUAAGAAGCACCGGCUAACUACGUG
rnacentral:rRNA from 1 species